UACGGAGGGUGCGAGCGUUAAUCGGAAUUACUGGGCGUAAAGGGUGCGUAGGUUGUAUUAUAAGUUAUCUGUAAAAUCCCUGGGCUCAACCUGGGCAGGUCAGAUAAUACUGUGGUACUCGAGUAUGGGAGAGGGUAGUGGAAUUUCCGGUGUAGCGGUGAAAUGCGUAGAGAUCGGAAGGAACACCAGUGGCGAAGGCGGCUACCUGGCCUAAUACUGACACUGAGGCACGAAAGCGUGGGGAGCAAACAGG
rnacentral:rRNA from 1 species